UUAAUAGAACAUCGGUGUUCUGUUUUUCUAACAAGCAUUCAAAGCUGUCCAUGCUCUGUGAUUCACAUCCGUUAUGUGAGAAACUGGCGUGACGUCGCAUGUAUUUGGCGCUACAAUUUCCUAUGAUCUGAGGUGUGUCUGUGGUAAGUAUCCAUCUAGGAAUACUUUUGUUUCAUAUUUAAUAUGUACCUAAAAUAAUGUAAUAUUUCGGCGAUAUAUUCAUAUGCUGAUCCCAACGAAGUAAAACCGGCCCCUUACAAAACGCAUAGCAGACGACAUAUUACUCGCCAUUUUGACCGUCAUUUCUGCCAUUGUUCCACACGCUUUAUUUAUAAAUUAUGAGUUGAAAUUCCAAUCAAAAUUGCAAGUGUCACUAUUUGAACGUUUCCGUUUAUUUGAAUGAUGUUCAAAUAAAAUGAAUAUAUAUUUCAGGUUCUAUAUGAAUCGCCUGAAAGUGCGAAGCGGGCUACGUGCAACAAAUCUCUGAACAUCUAAAUUUGGGAUCCGAGGGCAUGAUCAGCAAGCAUCGACAAUGCAUCGAAAUCAGCAGACAGUAGUGGUGCAUUGCAGAUAAUCAGUACCAUCCAUGGAAAUUAUUGCACAGGGCACACGUCUACACAAAGGAGGAAAAGACACAAGGUUUUGCAGAUCAAAUAAGAAGGAUGUUGGGGAGUCAUAUUUCACAUGAAGUUUCCUGAAGCCUGCGAUGGUCAUGUCGCUGUUACGAACAUCGUCCUUUGGGGAUAUUUACCCACAAGAAACAUCUGCGAAGUACAUGCGCUUGAAACUUAAGUUAUCUUAAGUAUGGAAGUAUGCUUCAAUUUGCUACACGACAGUUUGUAAUCUUUCAUGAAGAACUCUGACUCAUAAGUGACUUGAAUAUCCAUGAUCAUCCCAAACAAAUGUAAUAAAGAAUUCAUGGUUGCAGUUCAGAAUUUCGUCCGUGUGAUUUUAUGCCA